AUUGAACGCUGGCGGCAGGCCUAACACAUGCAAGUCGAGCGGAUGCACAGAACUUGCUCGUGGAUUCAGCUGCCGACGGGUGGGUAGUUCCUAGGAACCUCCCUGUUUGUUUUUUAGAACGUGCUAAAACGGGCGCUCAUACGCUAUACGUCCUUAGGAAGUAAGUGUGAGAGCUGCGGAUCUUCGGCUAUCGCACGAUCCUAUGUCGGAUUAGCUAGUUGGUGGGGUAAAGGCCUACCAAGGCGACGAUCCGUAACUGGUCUGAGAGGAUGAUCAGUCACACUGGAACUGAGACACGGUCCAGACUCCUACGGGAGGCAGCAGUGGGGAAUAUUGGACAAAGGGCGAAAGCCUGAUCCAGCCAUGCCGCGUGUGUGAAGAAGGUCUUCGGAUUGUAAAGCACUUUAAGUUGGGAGGAAGAGCAGUAAGUUAAUACCUUGUUGUUUUGACGUUACCAACAGAAUAAGCACCGGCUAACUUCGUG
rnacentral:rRNA from 1 species